GAUGAACGCUAGCGGCAGGCUUAAUACAUGCAAGUCGUGGGGCAGCACAGGGUAGCAAUACUUGGGUGGCGACCGGCAAACGGGUGCGGAACACGUACGCAACCUUCCUUCAGGCGGGGAAUAGCCCAGAGAAAUUUGGAUUAAUACCCCAUAAGAUUUUGAGAUGGCAUCAUCUUAUUAUUAAAGAUUUAUCACCUGAAGAUGGGCGUGCGGCUGAUUAGGUAGUUGGCGGGGUAACGGCCCACCAAGCCUACGAUCAGUAGCUGAUGUGAGAGCAUGAUCAGCCACGCGGGCACUGAGACACGGGCCCGACUCCUACGGGAGGCAGCAGUAAGGAAUAUUGGUCAAUGGACGCAAGUCUGAACCAGCCAUGCCGCGUGGAGGAUGAAGGUCCUCUGGAUUGUAAACUUCUUUUAUCUGGGACGAAAAAAGGGUUUUCUAACUCGUCUGACGGUACCAGAUGAAUAAGCACAGGCUAACUCCGUGCCAG
rnacentral:rRNA from 1 species